rnacentral:misc_RNA from 1 species
CGCACAUUGCGCCCCUUGGUAUUCCGAGGGGCAUGCCUGUUCGAGCGUCAUCAAACCCCCCUCAAGCCUAGCUUGGUGUUGGGCUGCGCCGGCCACCGGCGGGCCCCAAGAUCAGUAGCGGUGCCCGCGCUGCGGCUCAAGCGUAGUAACUCUCUCGCUCGGGUCUGGCGCGGCCGCCUGCUCCCAACCCCUCUAGUUUGACCUCGGAUCAGGUAGGGAUACCCGCUGAACUUAA